GCAGUGUCUAAAAAAUAUGUAUCGGAUUAUUAAUUUUUAAUGCACUUGAAACAUUUCUCAGCGAGAAAUGUCCCAGCGCAUAAAAAAUAGAACCGAAAUAUUUCGAACUGUCAUUUUCUUAUUCUUCUUCUUGCCAUGCAUGGCAGUCGUUUCGUUAUGUUUGUUUUUUUUUUCAGCCAAAACGUGCAAAAAUCGUUUGCGGAUGCGGUAUUCGAACGUUAGGAGCUGCAGCAGCACCAUGGGCGAUGACUGGGUCGAAAAAUCAGUUCGGUCCACUGCCAUCAGAAAUGUGGAAUAUUUGUGGGGGUGUCGAUUGUCCGGAAUGGAUUCAGCCUCUCCAGAAGGAUUCACGCAGGUGAUGCUGAUUAAUUGAACCAACACCGAAGCUGCUCAUCCCCGGUCGAGCGAAGCAAAGUACCAGUUCAGCGCUGCUCGUGGGUGUACUUAAUUUCUAUACGAGAAUCUUAGAAAAGGCUUCAAAGAAUGCUUUUCAUUUUCAGAUUGUUAAGCAACAUCAUCAUGGUGCUUUACUUAGUAAUGAAUUUCAUAUGAUUUGAAAAUAAAAAUUUUAAUUAUAAAA